rnacentral:rRNA from 1 species
GUGGGGAAUAUUGCACAAUGGGGGAAACCCUGAUGCAGCAACGCCGCGUGAGUGAAGAAGGUCUUCGGAUUGUAAAGCUCUGUCAUCUGGGACGAUAAUGACGGUACCAGAGGAGGAAGCCACGGCUAACUACGUGCCAGCAGCCGCGGUAAUACGUAGGUGGCGAGCGUUGUCCGGAUUUACUGGGCGUAAAGGAUGCGUAGGCGGAUAUAUAAGUCAGAUGUGAAAACCCCGGGCUCAACUUGGGGACUGCAUUUGAAACUGUAUAUCUAGAGUGCAGGAGAGGAAAGUGGAAUUCCUAGUGUAGCGGUGAAAUGCGUAGAGAUUAGGAAGAACAUCAGUGGCGAAGGCGGCUUUCUGGACUGUAACUGACGCUGAGGCAUGAAAGCGUGGGGAGCAAACAGGAUUAGAAACCCGGGUAGUCC